rnacentral:misc_RNA from 1 species
GGAACUUCUGAGGCAGUUCUGCAAGUUUUGUUUUCUGGUCCUCGCAUUUUAAGUUCUGAUCCAUGUGCUAACAAUUUAGAUUUCAGAUUUGUUUCCAAAUUCCACAUUAAAUGUGUAAAGAAAAGGGCCUUAAGGGAUAAGCAAAUGUUCAACUGUACUAGUUUUCUGCAGAAUCACAUAAGAGUCCAUCGGUUUAAGACGACAGCUGACUAUGGUUUGUUUGGGAAUACAACAGUUGACAGAUUGCAGCUGCUGAGUUGUAAAUGCCAGCAGGCAGAAAAUGUUAGCGGUUUAACUGCAGAAGAUGGAAAU